GCAAUGAGGGGUACAUUGCUUGGAAGCUGAAAAAUAUGCAGCGCGAGCUCAGCAGUGGCAGUAGGAGAAGCAGCUCCAGUAGGGAUCCAUCAAGCAACUAGAGGUGUUGCAGGACUUCGAGCUCCUUUUUGGAGAUGAUAUUUCUACCAAACCUCUGGAGAAGUGGGGAACUUUGAAGCCGAAAAUCAUCAAGGAAUCCAAGAACCUUACUAAAACACCGGUGUUGGAUUCCCUUAUCCGGUCUGCAGAGGAGAACCAAGUUGAAGAUGAUGAUUUGCCAGCUUGGGAUAGUGAGAUGGUGGCACUGUUCCUGUUGGUUUUUCUUCUGCCUCCAAGUGGGAAGAAGAGAGUGGUCAAGAUCACAGUUCUGGAAAGCUAUGAAUCAUGUAGUCAGAUUUCACAAGGU